rnacentral:rRNA from 1 species
UACGAAGGGGGCUAGCGUUGCUCGGAAUUACUGGGCGUAAAGCGCACGUAGGCGGAUUGUUAAGUCGGGGGUGAAAUCCUGGAGCUCAACUCCAGAACUGCCUUCGAUACUGGCGAUCUCGAGUUCGGGAGAGGUGAGUGGAACUGCGAGUGUAGAGGUGAAAUUCGUAGAUAUUCGCAAGAACACCAGUGGCGAAGGCGGACUCGCUGGCCCGAUACUGACGCUGAGGUGCGAAAGCGUGGGAGCAACAGGG